ACAGAGCGCCUACGGGAAGCAGCAGUCGGGAAUAUUGCGCAAUGGAGGAAACUCUGACGCAGUGACGCCGCGUAUAGGAAGAAGGUUUUCGGAUUGUAAACUAUUGUCGUGAGGGAAGAAAAUGACAGUACCUCAGGAGGAAGCUCCGGCUAACUAUGUGCC
rnacentral:rRNA from 1 species